rnacentral:tRNA from 1 species
CAGAAUAUAGUUUAGCGGAGAAUACCACCUUUGGGAGUUGGUGGAAGAGGUUUGAGUCCUCAUUUUCUGA